rnacentral:tRNA from 1 species
GCACUAGUGGUCUAGUGGUAGAAUAGUACCUUGCCACGGUACAGACCCGGGUUCGAUUACCGGCUGGUGCA